GCGGGGUGAGGUAGUAGGUUGUGUGGUUUCCGGGCAGUGAUGUCGGCCCUCGGAAGAUAACUAUACAACCUACUGCCUUCCCCGA
rnacentral:pre_miRNA from 1 species